rnacentral:rRNA from 1 species
CCUACGGGAGGCAGCAGUGAGGAAUAUUGGUCAAUGGGCGCGAGCCUGAACCAGCCAAGUCGCGUGAAGGAUGACUGCCCUACGGGUUGUAAACUUCUUUUAUAAAGGAAUAAAGUGCGGCACGUGUGCCUUUUUGUAUGUACUUUAUGAAUAAGGAUCGGCUAACUCCGUGCCAGCAGCCGCGGUAAUACGGAGGAUCCGAGCGUUAUCCGGAUUUAUUGGGUUUAAAGGGAGCGUAGAUGGGUUGUUAAGUCAGUUGUGAAAGUUUGCGGCUCAACCGUAAAAUUGCAAUGGAUACUGGCAGGCUGGAGUGCAGGUGAGGUAGGCGGAAUUCGUGGUGGAGCGGUGAAAUGCUUAGAUAUCACGAAGAACUCCGAUUGCGAAGGCAGCUUACUAAACUGCAACUGACAUUGAUGCUCGAAAGUGUGGGUAUCAAACAGGAUUAGAUACCCGAGUAGUC